rnacentral:rRNA from 1 species
UUAAGUGGCGGACGGGUGAGUAACGCGUGGGUAACCUGCCUUGUACUGGGGGACAACAGUUGGAAACGACUGCUAAUACCGCAUAAGCGCACAGCUUCGCAUGAAGCAGUGUGAAAAACUCCGGUGGUACAAGAUGGACCCGCGUCUGAUUAGCUGGUUGGUGGGGUAACGGCCCACCAAGGCGACGAUCAGUAGCCGGCCUGAGAGGGUGAACGGCCACAUUGGGACUGAGACACGGCCCAAACUCCUACGGGAGGCAGCAUG